GAUUGCAGGCUGCAACUCGCCUGCAUGAAGUCGGAAUUGCUAGUAAUCGUGGAUCAGCAUGCCACGGUGAAUACGUUCCCGGGCCUUGUACACACCGCCCGUCACACCAUGGGAGUCGGUAACACCCGAAGCCUGUAGUCUAACCGCAAGGAGGACGCAGUCGAAGGUGGGAUUGAUGACUGGGGUGAAGUCGUAACAAGGUACC
rnacentral:rRNA from 1 species